rnacentral:rRNA from 1 species
GGUUUGAUUAUGGCUCAGAUUGAACGCUGGCGGGAUGUUUUUACACAUGCAAGUCGAACGGCAGCACGGACUUCGGUCUGGGAAGUAUAUAACGGGUGAGUAAUGUAUCGGAACGUGCCUAGUAUGGGGAUAACUACGCGAAAGUAGUGCUAAUACCGCAUACGUUCUUCGGGGGAAAGCGGGGGGACCUUCGGGCCUCGCACUAUUAGGAGCGGGCCGGGACAUCGGAUUAGUUGGUGGGCACUGUCACCAAGGUGACGCCGAUCUGCAGCUGGUUUGAGAGGACGACCAGCCACACUGGGACUGAGACACGGCCCAGACUCCUACGGGAGGCAGCAGUGGGGAAUUUUGGACAAUGGGGAAACCCUGAUCCAGCCAUCCCGCGUGUGCGAUGAAGGCCUUCGCCAAAAAGCACUUUUGGCAGGAAGAAAACGGCAUCGGGAUAAUACCCCGUGCAACUGACGGUACCUGGGUACAAGCACCGGCUAACUACGCCAGCAGCCGGUAGUCAGGGUGCGCAUGUUAACGGUCUUUGACAGCGGCGCGCAGGCGAGUUUGGAAGAAAAAUGUGAACCCAGACGUACCUUGGGAACGCAUGAACUGCUGAAGACAGAGAAGGCAAGUUCUGAGAGGUGGAAUCUGCAACGGCGCAGUGGAAAUGCGUAGAUAUUGCGUGAGGGAACACGGCGGAAGGCGAGCCGGAUAAUGUCUGAUGCUCCGCCACGAAAGCGUAAGCAAAACAGAGAUGCGAUUACCGGUAACCGCGCUCUAACGAUCUUUCAUCUAUACGGAGCCUUCGCGGCCUUAGAGCGCAGCGGCGCGCUGAAUGCAGUUGACACCUCUAGAGAUGUCGCAGACAAACGACAAGUGGAAUUGACGUGACGCACAGCAGUGGAUGAUGUGGAUUAAUUCGAUGCAACGCGAAAACCUUACCUACCCUUGACAUGUCUGAAUCCCGAAGAGAUUUGGAGGUGCUCAAGAGAACCGGAACACAGGCGCGUAUUACGUCGUCAGCUCGUGUCGUGAGAUGUUGGGUUAAGUCCUGCAACGAGCGCAACCCUUUGUCAUUAGUUGCUACGAAAGGGCACUCUAAUGAGACUGCCGGUGACAAACCGGAGAAGGUGGGGAUAUCAAGUCCUCAUGGCCCUUAUGGGUAGGGCUUCACACGUCAUACAAUGGUCGGGACAGAGGGUCGCCAACCCGCGAGGGGGAGCCAAUCCCAGAAACCCGAUCGUAGUCCGGAUCGCAAAGCCCGCAACUCGACUGCGUGAAGUCGGAAUCAUAGUAAUCAGGAUCAGCAUGUCGCGGUGAAUACGUUCCCGGGUCUUGUACACACCGCCCGUCACACCAUGGGAGUGGGUUUUACCAGAAGUUAGUUAGCUCAACCGUAAGGAGGGCGAUUACCACGGUAGGAUUCAGACUGGGGUGAAGUCGUAACAGCGUAG